rnacentral:rRNA from 1 species
ACCGAAUAGAUACUCUGGUAGUCCACGCCCUAAACGAUGCGAACUGGAUGUUGGGUACAUUACGGUACUCAGUGUCGAAAGCUAACGCGUUAAGUUCGCCGCCUGGGGAGUACGGUCGCAAGACUGAAACUCAAAGGAAUUGACGGGGGCCCGCACAAGCGGUGGAGUAUGUGGUUUAAAUUCGAUGCAACGCGAAGAACCUUACCUGGCCUUGACAUCUGUCGAAUCCUGCAGAGAUGCGGGAGUGCCGCAAGGAACGACAAGACAGGUGCUGCAUGGCUGUCGUCAGCUCGUGUCGUGAGAUGUUGGGUUUAAGUCCCGCAACGAGCGCAACCCUUGUCCCUAGUUGCCAGCACGUAAUGGUGGGAACUCUAGGGAGACUGCCGGUGACGAACCGGAGGAAGGUGGGGAUGACGUCAAGUCCUCAUGGCCCUUACGGCCAGGGCUACACACGUACUACAAUGGUCGGUACAGAGGGUUGCGAAGCCGCGAGGCGAAGCCAAUCCCAGAAAACCGAUCCCAGUCCGGAUUGGAGUCUGC